rnacentral:pre_miRNA from 1 species
CAUGUACUCCCUCCGUUCGGAAUUACUUGUCACAAAAAUGGAUGUAUCUACAACUAAAAUACAUCUAGAUACAUUCAUUUCUUGGACGAGUAAUUCCGAACAAAGGGAGUAUCUG